rnacentral:rRNA from 1 species
AGCUCCAAUAGCGUAUAUUAUUGAUGUUGCAGUUGAAACGUUCGUAGUCGAACUUUUUCUGUUGGAGGUACAUGAUUGUCACUGACAGCAUGUAUACUCAAUGCAGAAAAGUGUUAAUCCGUUCAUGUGUUUCACAUGGCGUGCAUUAACACUAUACUUUGAGUGAAUCGGCGUGUUUCACGCAGGCUUCAUGCCUUGAACGAUUUACCAUAGUAUAUUUACAGUAUGAAAGUACCAUUUCGUCUUCUCGAUGGUAUUUUUGAUACUCAAAAGAACGGUCGAGGGCAUUCGUAUUCAACUGCCAGAGGUGAAAUUCUUUGAUUAGUUGAGGACGAACCAUUGCGAAAGCAUCUGCCAAGGACGUUUCUG